GUUAUCAGGUGACGCCUACGCGAUUGUAACGCUUUGCCGGUGGACGCCACAACUACACUCACCUACGGACCGACGCCUUAACCGUCGCCUCAUCACUAACGAAUCAUCUAAGUGUCAAACUUAUAAGUUGUACGGUUCACUGACAAACUCAAAAAAAAUCAUCACCUGAAGUGUUUUCCUGGAUAUUUCCGAAAGUGAAUAGUGAGACAGCUUUCAGGAUUGCAAGGUAAACCAUAACUAAUGGAAUGAAUGCAAGCAAGGUUGUCCGUGCUGAUAUUAUGAUAGGACACGAGGGUGUGACUCAGCGGGGUUCGGCACGUACGUAAACAAUCCCUGAACAACAAUGUCAAAAGAACAACAAUGAAGAUCAACUGUAAUUCAUAGAAUUAAAGCUUGCAGCGCAACAUUUCUAUUCAUUUUGUUUUCUUAAUAAAGUUGAAUUUUACUGUUUCCUAA